ACUAAGCGUACACGGUGGAUGCCCUGGCAGUCAGAGGCGAUGAAGGACGUGCUAAUCUGCGAUAAGCGUCGGUAAGGUGAUAUGAACCGUUAUAACCGGCGAUUUCCGAAUGGGGAAACCCAGUGUGAUUCGUCACACUAUCAUUAACUGAAUCCAUAGGUUAAUGAGGCGAACCGGGGGAACUGAAACAUCUAAGUACCCCGAGGAAAAGAAAUCAACCGAGAUUCCCCCAGUAGCGGCGAGCGAACGGGGAGCAGCCCAGAGCCUGAAUCAGUGUGUGUGUUAGUGGAAGCGUCUGGAAAGGCGCGCGAUACAGGGUGACAGCCCCGUACACAAAAAUGCACAUACUGUGAGCUCGAUGAGUAGGGCGGGACACGUGGUAUCCUGUCUGAAUAUGGGGGGACCAUCCUCCAAGGCUAAAUACUCCUGACUGACCGAUAGUGAACCAGUACCGUGAGGGAAAGGCGAAAAGAACCCCGGCGAGGGGAGUGAAAAAGAACCUGAAACCGUGUACGUACAAGCAGUGGGAGCCUCUUUUAUGGGGUGACUGCGUACCUUUUGUAUAAUGGGUCAGCGACUUAUAUUCUGUAGCAAGGUUAACCGAAUAGGGGAGCCGAAGGGAAACCGAGUCUUAACCGGGCGUUAAGUUGCAGGGUAUAGACCCGAAACCCGGUGAUCUAGCCAUGGGCAGGUUGAAGGUUGGGUAACACUAACUGGAGGACCGAACCGACUAAUGUUGAAAAAUUAGCGGAUGACUUGUGGCU
rnacentral:rRNA from 1 species